rnacentral:lncRNA from 1 species
UCUGAAAUUGGUGUAAGUUUAUUAUUGAUCUAUUUAUCAUCCUUUUAACAAGAAAAUCCCUUCCAAAACAAUGGUUUCAAUUAUUGUUUCCAGAGAAUAUAUUACACCUUUUCUUAUAUUGCAUGUUGUUGAUCCUGGUCAUUGUACAAUACUUAUUCCAAGAAUAUGUAAUUUCACCUUUCCAUUUCCAAUACUAUAUUAUCCAGCUUACCAGAUACAAACAAGCUUCUCACAUUCCAAAUUACAAUUUUUAAAGGUAAUCUGGAGAUUCUUUGCACCUUCUGAUCAUUCAAGGUAUCGGGAACUGAGGGUCAUUGUAUAAGUAUUUGUUGCCAUGAUAACUGUACUAGGAAGUACUAAUGAAGUGGUUUUCUGUUGUCUUCCUCAUCACACUACAAAUGCCAUUUAUGUGGUUACCACCUGUCUAUUUGUUACACAAUUCAUAACAAUUCUGUUAACUAAACAUAAACUUGUGGUUGGUUUUGAACAGCCAGCUGCCACUGUUCAAUGCUAGUUUUGGUCCAACUCAGGUAUUUCAUUUUCCCACUAUUACUGAUAUCUAGGAGGCAUAUCCUAAUCUGCCACCUAAGGAGGCAUCCAAUGGAGAACUAACAACCUCACCACAGGUUGACUGUACUAAUUUUUAUAACUAUUUUAAGUACCAUACCAUUUACUAUGCCAUGGUUACUUUGUGUUAUACUUGUUUCGCUUCACAUCAACUUGUAUUUUUACUUUUAUAUCUAUUUUAUUUUUCUAUUAUUCUCUCUGUAUAACAUUAUUAGUUUGUUUAUUUUAUGUUAAAUCUG